UUGGAGGGCAAGUCUGGUGCCAGCAGCCGCGGUAAUUCCAGCUCCAAUAGCGUAUAUUAAAGUUGUUGCAGUUAAAAAGCUCGUAGUUGAAUUUCGGGAUUGACGUGACGGUCAUGCCUUAAGGGGUAUGAACUGUUACUGUUGAUUUCUCACCUUCUGGAGAAACUUGAUGUCCUUUAUUGGGUGUCUUGCGGAUCCAGGACCUUUACCUUGAAAAAAUUAGAGUGUUUAAAGCAGGCAUUUUUGCUCGAAUACAUUAGCAUGGAAUAAUAGAAUAGGACGGCAUGGUUCUAUUUUGUUGGUUUCUAGGAUCACCGUAAUGAUUAAUAGGGAUAGUUGGGGGCAUUAGUAUUCAAUUGUCAGAGGUGAGAUUCUUGGAUUUAUUGAAGACUAACUACUGCGAAAGCGUUUGCCAAGGAUGUUUUCAUUAAUCAAGAACGAAAGUUAGGGGAUCGAAGACGAUCAGAUACCGUCAUAGUCUUAACCAUAAACUAUGCCGACUAGGAAUCAGACGAUGUUAAUUUUUUAAUGACUCGUUUGGCACCUUACGGGAAACCAAAGUGUUUGGGUUC
rnacentral:rRNA from 1 species